rnacentral:rRNA from 1 species
GAGCCCAGCGCUGAAUCUCUCGGUCUUAGGCCGCUGAGAACUGUAGCGUAUAGGUGUGACUGUCCUGCUAUAUUGCAUUUCCGAAGUCUCUUUGAUAGGGGCCAACAUCCAGAGAGGGUGCGAGACCUGUACGGAAAGUAGUAUAGUUGGUAUGGUUACUCCUUGGAGUCGGGUUGCUUGAAAGUGCAGCCUAAAGUUGGUGAUAAACUUCAUCUAAGGCUAAAUAUCGACGCGAAAUCGAUAGCAAACAAGUACCGUGAGGGAAAGUUGCAAAGAACUUUGAAGAGAGAGUUCAAGAGAACGUGAAAUCGCUGAAGUGGAACCGGAGAGAGUUAACAUAACUUGGUAGCUAUAUCCUCUAAAGUCGCUUAACUGUGGCUCUGGGGGGUGGACGCUACCUGUUGUUGCACUGACUGCGUUGAUUGUGCUUUCCGAACAGUAUAGUGUUGCCCACUUUGUGGUGUCUUGCUUUCUGGGAGGUUUGUCAUAAUUAACGUAAAGCCAAUUCCCUUUGGAGUCAGUGUGAAAGUUAACCACCUUUCCGACCCGUCUUGAAACACGGACCGAGGAGUGUAAUUUAUACGCGAGUCAAGGGGUGGUGAAAACCCUAGGGGCGGAAUGAAAGUAAAGGCCGGUUAACCGGUUGACAUGGGAUCCGCUCUUCGGAGCGGCGCACCAUGGCCCUGUCUUGUCUGCUUGCAGAUGGGCAGCGGUAGAGCGUAUAGUUUGCGACCCGAAAGAUGGUGAACUAUGCUUGAGCAGGACGAAGCCAGAGGAAACUCUGGUGGAAGUCCGUAUCGGUUCUGACGUGCAAAUCGAUCGAUAGACU